UGAGUGUCGUAGCUAACGCGUUAAACAGGGCGCCUGGGGACUACGGCCGCAAGGCUAAAACUCAAAGGAAUUGACGGGGACCUGCACAAGCAGUGGAGCGCCUGGUUUAAUUCGAUGAUCAGCGAAGAACCUCACCUGGGCUUGAACUGUAGCUGUGGUCACGUAGAAACACGUGAUGUCUUCGAGAACGCUACAGAGGUGCUGCAUGGCUGUCGUCAGCUCGUGUCGUGAGAUGUAGGGUUAAGUCCCACAACGAGCGCAACCCCUAUCUAGUGUUAUAAUUUCUCUAGAGACUGCCUCGUCACAGCGAGGAGGAAGGAGGGGACGACGUCCAGUCAUCAUAUCCCUUAUGUCCAGGGCUACACAGACGCUACAAUGGCUAAUACAAUGGGCUGCCAAACCGCGAGGUGGAGCUAAUCCCAUCAAAAUUAGUCUCAAUUCGGAUUGUAGUCUGCAACUCGACUGCAUGAAGACGGAAUUGCUAGUAAUCGCACAUCAGCACGGUGCGGUGAAUACGUUCUCAGGUCUUGUACACACCGCCCAUCAGGGCACGGGAGUUGCUUCUGCUCGAAGUUCC
rnacentral:rRNA from 1 species